rnacentral:rRNA from 1 species
UACGUAGGGUGCGAGCGUUGUCCGGAUUUAUUGGGCGUAAAGAGCGUGUAGGCGGUUCGGUAGGUCCGUUGUGAAAACUCGAGGCUCAACCUCGAGACGCCGAUGGAAACCCCCGAACUAGAGUCCGGAAGAGGAGAGUGGAAUUCCUGGUGUAGCGGUGAAAUGCGCAGAUAUCAGGAAGAACACCCGUGGCUAAGGCGGCUCUCUAGUACGGUACUGACGCUGAGACGCGAAAGCGUGGGGAGCGAACAGG